rnacentral:rRNA from 1 species
UACACUCCUGCGGGAGGCAGCAGUGGGGAAUAUUGGACAAUGGGCGCAAGCCUGAUCCAGCCAUGCCGCGUGAGUGAUGAAGGCCCUAGGGUUGUAAAGCUCUUUCACCGGUGAAGAUAAUGACGGUAACCGGAGAAGAAGCCCCGGCUAACUUCGUGCCCGCAGCCGCGGUAAUACGAAGGGGGCUAGCGUUGUUCGGAUUUCCUGGGCGUAAAGCGCACGUAGGCGGACUAUUAAGUCAGGGGUGAAAUCCCGGGGCUCAACCCCGGAACUGCCUUUGAUACUGGUAGUCUUGAGUUCGAGAGAGGUGAGUGGAAUUCCGAGUGUAGAGGUGAAAUUCGUAGAUAUUCGGAGGAACACCAGUGGCGAAGGCGGCUCACUGGCUCGAUACUGACGCUGAGGUGCGAAAGCGUGGGGAGCAAACAGGAUUAGAUACCCCAGUAGCCC